AGCAUACUCCCUCCGUCCGAAAAUACUUGUCAUCAAAAUGGAUAAAAAGAGAUGUAUCUCGAACUAAAAUACGUCUAGAUAGAUCCUUUUUUUAUCUAUUUUGAUGACAAGUAUUUCCGGAUGAAGGGAGUACUAC
rfam:Triticum aestivum genome assembly, contig: Triticum_aestivum_CS42_TGACv1_scaffold_224326_3B